rnacentral:rRNA from 1 species
AUGUUCCAAAAAACUCAAAUAACCAUGCGAUUUAGAAUUAAUCCGGUUUAUGACAGGUCGGACCCGCUCCUAAACAAACGUUUGUUGACUGUUUGUUUGAGCGUUAACUUACAUCUGGGUCCCACAUGUAAGUGCUCUCUCUCACUCUCUCCCUUAUCUUUCUUCUCCUUCUUCCCUAUCACUCUCCUGAGCAGCACCACGCCCGGCAUAGCCACGGCUGCCGCCGCCAGGGCCAGCCACCACCACGCCAUGGAGACGGAGAUGGAAGGAGGGCAGCGGAUGGGCGGCUCAGAGCAGCUCGCUGGUGGUCGGAGUCGAGCCCGUACUCCAUGCAGCACCCACGUCGCCGUCGCCUGCUUCUCUCUGCGCCGCCGCAGAUAG